UUAAGACGUUGGAGAAGUGGCCAACCUUCAGAAUCCUGGGAGGCUCAUAAGGCAGCAAUCCAAGCACUCAUAAAGCUGCCUUCAGGCGAGCUUGUUACAGGUUCAACUGAUACAACUUUAAAACUUUGGAGAGGAAGCAAAUGUACACAUACUUUUGUUGGGCAUACAGAUCAAAUAUAGGCUGAUGCACUUGUUCUGAGGGGGAUCAGUUGCACAUUUGAGGA